rnacentral:lncRNA from 1 species
GGCUAUUCCCCAUAGUUUUAGCUUCUUAAGGGUCAAGAGCUACUUUGGUCCUUUCCCCUCAACCUAAGCAUCCAAAGCACGAAUUAUAACACCCAAAAGGGCAUUAUUUGCCCCCUUUCACUCCAAAUUGCUCUCAAGAAACCCUCCUCCAUUUCUAAGAACAAUAAUCCAAGCGUCACCAUUCAAGAACCUUCAAGAAAAGUUAUUC